CAUGCCAUCUCCUCUUUUUUCUCUCUUUUCAAUGCCCAAGGGUUAGGCAUCCCAUCUUCCCACAUACCUAAGUUGAGGGUGAUUUAUUCUACAGCAAGGAAUAAGGAGAAAGACUGUAGUUCAAGCGUUAAGAUCACAAUCAAAGAUCAAGAGUUGAUCAAAGGUCCAAAAAGUUGAGAUUCAUCUUGGAGAAGGUGGAUCUAUAACAAGAAGAAAAAUUCAAGAUUGAUCUCGAUGAAUAUCUGUAG
rnacentral:lncRNA from 1 species